UGGGGAAUAUUGGACAAUGGGCGAAAGCCUGAUCCAGCCAUGCCGCGUGUGUGAAGAAGGUCUUCGGAUUGUAAAGCACUUUAAGUUGGGAGGAAGGGCAUUAACCUAAUACGUUAGUGUUUUGACGUUACCGACAGAAUAAGCACCGGCUAACUCUGUGCCAGCAGCCGCGGUAAUACAGAGGGUGCAAGCGUUAAUCGGAAUUACUGGGCGUAAAGCGCGCGUAGGUGGUUUGUUAAGUUGGAUGUGAAAUCCCCGGGCUCAACCUGGGAACUGCAUUCAAAACUGACUGACUAGAGUAUGGUAGAGGGUGGUGGAAUUUCCUGUGUAGCGGUGGAAUGCGUAGAUAUAGGAAGGAACACCAGUGGCGAAGGCGACCACCUGGACUAAUACUGACACUGAGGUGCGAAAGCGUGGGGAGCAAACA
rnacentral:rRNA from 1 species